UACGGAGGGUGCAAGCGUUAUUCGGAAUCACUGGGCGUAAAGGGUGCGUAGGCGGUUUGAUAAGUCUGAUGUGAAAUCCUAUGGCUCAACCAUAGAACUGCAUUGGAAACUGUCAAACUAGAAUACUGAAGGGGCAGAUGGAAUUAGUGGUGUAGGGGUAAAAUCCGUAGAUAUCACUAGGAAUACCGAAAGCGAAAGCGAUCUGCUGGGAAGUUAUUGACGCUGAGGCACGAAAGCGUGGGGAGCAAACGGGAUUAGAUACCCGCGUA
rnacentral:rRNA from 1 species